AGAGGGCUAGUCCAAAAUAAGACCUCUGAUUUCGGCUCAGAAAAUCGUGGUUAAACCCCACGGCCCCCUU
rnacentral:tRNA from 1 species